UACGCAGGGGGCUAGCGUUGCUCGGAAUCACUGGGCGUAAAGCGCACGUAGGCGGAUUGCUAAGUCAGGGGUGAAAUCCUGGAGCUCAACUCCAGAACUGCCCUUGAUACUGGCGGUCUCGAGUCCGGGAGAGGUGAGUGGAACUGCGAGUGUAGAGGUGAAAUUCGUAGAUAUUCGCAAGAACACCAGUGGCGAAGGCGGCUCACUGGCCCGGUACUGACGCUGAGGUGCGAAAGCGUGGGGAGCAAACAGG
rnacentral:rRNA from 1 species